GUUUAGGAAACUUGUGGUUUCACCACCAUAAAGGAAAUGACAGUGAACAAACAUCUGGUUCACCACUACAGUCACCAGAGAGAAGAAUCAAUUCUCACAUUACAUCUGAUUAUACAGAGACAGAUUUAAUGUACAAUACAGUGGCCAUUUGCUAACAAGGCCCCCAAACCUAAUUUAAACUAAGGGCUAGAGCAUCAGCACUGUUGCACUCAUCUAAAAACAGAGCUGUUCUCCACCUAUUUGCAACUACUGUCGUCCAGUUACAGUUUUCCUUCUCGCUCUGAUGUUGCUGCUAGGUCCACCUGACCUAGAUGUUCUUCCAGUACAGCCAGCAAGGAGGAAGAAACACUAACUGCUGCUUCCCACGUGUUACAGGAAGCCUGAAAAAUGGGUUGAAGUUCCCACCUGACUCCUAUCAGCCUCCCUACACCCAGAGGCAUCAUCAUCAUAAGAGUAUCAACAAAGAGUUUGGAGAAGUGGCUAAGUGGCCAUCCAUCCAGAAAGGGUAUGAGGAACUAAAUACAUGGCCUCAACUCAUCCCUAGUGGCAAGUGAUGAUCAUGGGACACCGUGAAAGGGACAAUCCUAAGAGCUGAUCCUCAUGAAUCAGUGACUGUCUCUCUCUGUACUCCCAGUGAGAAUGGAGGCAUGUUUAGGACCUGCCAGCCUCUUCCACAAACAUUUUUCACCACCACAAACACUGCAAGAGUCAAGCUGUGUGAAUGCCAGGUACAUGGGAGACUUCUAGAGAAGACUGAAGACUUUUGAGGCUACAGCGUCAUUAAUAUACUGACAACAUCCAACUAGCGUCUUGUUUCAUCAGCUCCAGGAGUUGCUGUUUUCUUGCCUUUCCAGCACUUCCCCAAGAUAGGGCCCUGGAGGAAAGUGAGUGAGGACACAGUGUAUGCACAAAAUGAAUAUCAAAAGAGGGAUUCUGCCUGAGAUGACUUCUCUUGAAUUCCAGGAGGUGCUGAUGGGGACCAAGAAAUACUUCAUGAUAAUAUAAAAACCAGACCACCUAUUUAAUCUACAACCCAUUUUUCAUCAUUUCAAACUAGAAACUCUUUCUUGCACAUUUCAUGACAACUGUCAGCAGACAGGCAAGUGAAUUUGGUAUCCCACCUGGCAGUUUGGAGACCGGAGAUCCCAAAGUCGGAUGGUUUUAUCAAGUGAUCCAGAAAUAAAGGUAUCAUCUACUGGAGACAUGGACAGGGCAACAACUCUGCAAUAUAGAAGAUUAGCUGUAUCAGGUAUUACACAGCCACCAAGACCUUGAUCACCGAAAUGUCCCCUUGUCACAUCUCUUACCUCUUGCUGUGCCCUGGAAAAUAUCGGAUGUAUUUAUUAUCAUGUAGGGAGAGGUAACGGAUUGUAUCUGCAAGAAAAUAUAAGAAACACAUAAGCAUGUAUCUCAUAAUAAACCUUCUCCAACAGAUAGCAACAAUGGUCUGCUUUGUCUUCAAGAGGGAUGUUAAAAUGGGAUUAACUGAAUGAGAAACUGAAAUCAAGUAGUCUGGAAGAAAAACAAACAGUAGAACUAGUGAGGAUGUUCCCAAUGGUCUGGAGAUAAUACGAAUACUUCACAUAGUGUAAAUGAAUUGCCAUGAGACAUGUACAAUUUUCUGCCACAAAGUUAUUGAAGCAAAAUAAAAAUCAAGUAACUGUCAAGUUUUUAUUCAAGCAUUUCUCACAAAACUACAGCUUUCUAAAAGUUGGUGCCAACAUUUCCUGUUAGAAAGCGAGUACAGAUUUAUCAAGCAAAUGCCAUAGUCCUGUUAAUGCAGCCAUGCAGGAAGAACU